AGUGAACGCUGGCGGUAGGCCUAACACAUGCAAGUCGAACGGCAGCACAGUAAGAGCUUGCUCUUACGGGUGGCGAGUGGCGGACGGGUGAGGAAUACAUCGGAAUCUACUUUUUCGUGGGGGAUAACGUAGGGAAACUUACGCUAAUACCGCAUACGACCUACGGGUGAAAGCAGGGGAUCUUCGGACCUUGCGCGAUUGAAUGAGCCGAUGUCGGAUUAGCUAGUCGGCGGGGUAAAGGCCCACCAAGGCGACGAUCCGUCGCUGGUCUGAGAGGAUGAUCAGCCACACUGGAACUGAGACACGGUCCAGACUCCUACGGGAGGCAGCAGUGGGGAAUAUUGGACAAUGGGCGCAAGCCUGAUCCAGCCAUACCGCGUGGGUGAAGAAGGCCUUCGGGUUGUAAAGCCCUUUUGUUGGGAAAGAAAAGCAGCAGGUUAAUACCCCGCUGUUCUGACGGUACCCAAAGAAUAAGCACCGGCUAACUUCGUG
rnacentral:rRNA from 1 species